GUCAGUUUGGGUGGUGCCAAGCUUUAAUCCAGCUACUGGAGAUUCUGAGGCAAGUGAGUCUCAAGCUCAGGAGUUCAUACCUGCAUUGGGUUAUGCCAAUAGGGUGUCCAGUAAGUUUGGCAUCAAUAUGGGGAGUCCCCAGGAGUGGGGGCUACCAAGUUGCCUAAGGAAUGGUGAAUUAGCCCAGAUCAGAAAUUGAGUAGAUCAAAACUCCUUUACUAAUCAGAAGUGGGAUCUGGUCUAUAAGUAACUCCUUCAUUUCCAGCCUGGAAGAAAUAAGGAGAUGCCAUCUUU
rnacentral:SRP_RNA from 1 species